rnacentral:miRNA from 1 species
UGACAAUACUAAAGAGUCAAGCG